UGCCCACCAUCCCUGGCCUCCCCACUCGGCCUUGUUUCUAUGACAUCGACCUGGACCCCGAGACCGAACAGGUCAAUGGACUCUUCUGAGAGACAAAAAAAAAAAAAGGUCCUCACACCCUUUGAUGACAUUUCCCAUCAGUCCUCUGAGCGCCAAAGAAAUGUGAAGAAGAACCAACUGGAAGCACCUCAAACUCGUCUGCUGUUUUUGUUGUUUCUCAUAUUAACACUGAUGUCUGUAAAGCUGCUGCUGAUAGAUCAGGACGGUCUUUCUCCCUGCUAUCAGGCACAUGUUAUUCCGUUAUAUUGCUGACUGAACAGACACAUUUCACAUCUCAGAUUGCCCAGGCUGUAUUUACUAACUACUUGUGUAUAUUUUGUGAGCACCACACCAGAGGCAUUUCCUUCAGUUCAGUCUUUAACAAGCUGUGCCCUUCGGAUAAAGGUUUUAUUACAUAAGUCUUAACAAGAAAUGCUGUCUUAAAACAAAAUUAUAAUUUGUUUAAUCCCAUCUUUCUCUGUCUUUGUUUUAAUUAACACUCUGUAACAUUUUUCGAAAAGUCGCCAUCAUUGCUGUGAAGCUCACUGGCCAUGUCAUUGUAAAAUCAGUGAUUUCCUCAUAUCUGUGAAAUAAAGGCUUUUAAAACAAA